ensembl:lncRNA
CUCUUAGAGAGGCACACCUGUCUGCUAUAUAAUAAAACAUACUCCUUUUGAAUUCUAGCUUAAAUUUCACUCAAGUUUUGGUCUAGAAAAUCCAGUUUAGCAGGAUUAGUCAUCAAUAACCUCCCCCAAGAUGAAAUUUUAAGUUAUCCAUUGAAUGUUAAAGUUGAAGGUACUAAAGGUCUGAUUUGGGCCACACGAUUUAGGUGAAAACAAAUCAGAGAAAGGUUAGCAAUAAAUGAGGAGAGAAAGAGGCUUACAGGAAAGUGGAAGGGGAUUUUAGAGUCUGGAGAUGAAAAAACUAUGGGGAAGGUUUUAUGUUAACUGUGAAAGCUGUUUAAAAGCACAUCACCAAUUAUUUUUGUUGACAUGAACAACUGAAAGAAUAUCCUAGUGUUAAAACCAGAAAAAAAUUAGGUGAGCAACAGCAUCAGUAGGUCUUGACUUAUGAAGGAGAACAACACAAAGGUUUCAAUGGGAGAUGAAGGGAGAAUGGAGAAAUACAACAACAGAGGACUUGCUACAGAAGAAGAGCGCUCACCAGUGGAAAGAGCACAAGAGUUGCCUUGCUUCACAGUUUAAGGACUCUUUGCAACCCCAUGAAUUGCAGCACACCAGGCCUCCCUGUCCAUCACCAACUCCCGGAGUUCACUCAAACUCAUGUCCAUCGAGUCAGUGAUGCCAUCCAGCCAUCUCAUCCUCUGUCGUCCCCUUCUCCUCCUGCCCCCAAUUCCUCCCAGCAUCAGAGUCUUUUCCAGUGAAUCAACUCUUCACAUGAGGUGGCCAAAGUACUGGAGUUUCAGCUUUAGCAUCACUCCUUCCAAAGAACACUCAGGACUGAUCUCCUUUAGGAUGGACUGGUUGGAUCUCCUUGCAGUCCAAGGGACUCUCAAGAGUCUUCUCCAACCCCACAGUUCAAAAGCAUCAAUUCUUUGGUGCUCAGCUUUCUUCACAUCCAGCUCUCACAUCCAUACAUGACUAUUGGAAAAAUCAUAGCCUUGACUGGACGGGCCUUUGUUGGCAAAGUAAUGUCUCUGCUUUUGAAUAUGCUAUCUAGGUUGGUCAUAACUUUCCUUCCAAGGAGUAAGCGUCUUUUAUUAAUUUCAUGGCUGCAGUCACCAUCUGCAGUGAUUUUGGAGCCCCCCAAAAUAAAGUCUAACACUGUUUCCACUGUUUCCCAUCUAUUUCCCAUGAACUGAUGCUAGUAAAGUAAUGUUCAAAAUUCUCCAAGCCAGGCUUCAGCAAUAUGUGAACUGUGAACUUCCUGAUGUUCAAGCUGGUUUUAGAAAAGGCAAAGGAACCAGAGAUCAAAUUGCCAACAUCCUCUGGAUCAACGAAAAAGCAAGAGAGUUCCAGAAAAACAUCUAUUUCUGCUUUACUGACUAUGCCAAAGCCUUUGACUAUGUGGAUCACAAUAAACGGUGGAAAAUUCUGAAAGAGAUGGGAAUACGAGACAACCUGACCGGCCUCCUGAGAAACCUAUAUGUAGGUCAGGAAGCAACAGUUAGAACUGGACAUGGAACAACAGACUGGCUCCAAAUAGGAAAAGGAGUAAGUCAAGGCUGUAUAUUGUCACCCUGCUAAUUUAACUUCAAUGCAGAGUACAUUAUGAGAAACGCUGGGCUGGAAGAAGCACAAGCUGGAAUCAAGAUUGCCGGGAGAAAUAUCAAGUAACAUAGUUUAGAUACCACAUAUAAGUGAUACCAUAUGGUAUUUGUCUCUCUCUGACUUACUUCACUUAGUAUGAUAGUCUCUAGUUUCAUCCAUGUUGCUGUAAAUGGCAUUAUUUUGUUCUUUUUAUGGCUGAGUAGCAUGCCUUUGUAUAUAUAUGUACCAUAUUUUCUUUAUCCAUUUGUCAAUGAACAUCUGUUGUUGAUUGGAUGUUGUGAAUAGUGCUGCUAUGAACACAAGGGUGCAUGUAUCUUUUUGAAUUAUAGUUUUAUCCAGAUAUAUACCCAGGAUUGGGGUUGAUAUUUUUAUUUUUUUGAGGACACUCUAUACUGUUUUCCAUAGUGGCUGCACCAACUUACACUACAAGAAUAUCAUUCUUGAUGUUGCUAAAGAUUUUCAUGUUGAAAGAGAUCCUCUUUGUAAACAAAUGGAAGUCUUAAUAAACAACCCUCAAAUCCAAAAAGAUUUGAAAGAUUGGGAAAAUAAUUUAUCUUUUGAGAACUUGAGAAAAUAGUGGCUCAGAUUUAGAUAAAAGACAAAAUAAUAUUGAAAAUUACCCAACAUUUCUGAAAUAGGUAACUGAGGUCACAUUUGACUCAGGCAUGAUCUAUCUAUUCUAGCCCAACGCUCUGAUCAUUUGGGGUAUUUCAGUUUAUCAGGAUAGAGGCAGUGAUGUCUCGUCCUUCCCUCACUAUCUCAUUUUCAUUUUUAGUAAAGGAGAUAUCAGUAGCUUCAUUUACCAUCUAAAAUUUUCAAGUAAGUUCUUAGAAUUGGGGAAGUUCCUGUCAGUUUGUACAUCUGAAGGCAUCUUAAUGGAAACUUAAAGACUCAAAAGCUUUAGAGUAAAAGAAAAAAAUUGUACCCAUUUCCCCCUUCUUAUGAUACUAUACAAAGUAAUACUGAAAGCUGCUCAACAAUUCUGAAUACUGAUAGGAAUGAAAUUUUAAGGUAGAAAAUAAUCAGAGAAGAGAAAAUACAAGGAGGGAAAAUAAUCAAAAAUUGUUUCCUCAAAAAAUUAAAUAUCAAGAAAGCCAAAGUAAAAAUAAUUAAAAAAAACCUAAAAGCUAAGUUUGCUUAUAAAAUGCCUUUAUAGAAUUUUGCUAAAUUUUGAUAGAAUUCUGGAAAAUGCCACUGUUUCAUGAAAAUGUUUGAACAACCUGCGAUUAGUCACUUCUUCCAAUGUCUCAGGAAUUGUCCACCAUGUUUCAUUGCAGGGCUGUAGUGAAGUCAUAAAGAAGGUCAUGUUUGUCAAAUCCAGGCUUUGGAGAAAAGGGAAACUGGACUAGUAGCUCAAACCUUAGUCAACACUGGACUCUUCUAAUGUAAAUUGCGUUCAUAGAACCUGUACUGCUUAUUAUUCAUAAUCAAUAAGAAAACACUAUGAACCAAAUUUGAGAUGUGUAGACACUGAAAACAAUGGAGAGGCCUCUAGUUCUUGGAACAUGAAAUAAGAGAGCCUCCUGGUGUUCAACAUGAAAUCAGAGAGCCGCCAGCAAGCACAGGCUUGCAGCUGAGGGAGUGAUUUUACUAUUUUAUUAACAUGACUGAAAAUGUAAAGAGAAAAAGACUCUUGUUAUAAAAAGCAAAAGAUAAAAGCAUUUAACUUAAGGACCUAUUUCCCAAACCCACUUACUCUAACUCACUUUUUCUAGAAUCAUGCCUGUUGAAUGUAGUUUUAUAGGCAAUACUGGUAUUCGUUUAUUUAAAACUCUCUGUACUUAAAUAUCUUAAACAUCUUUAACAUCUCUCUGUACUUAAACAUGCUUAAUUAAAAUAAAGCACAUCCACAU